rnacentral:rRNA from 1 species
AUUGAACGCUGGCGGCAUGCCUUACACAUGCAAGUCGAACGGUAACAGGUCUUCGGAUGCUGACGAGUGGCGCACGGGUGAGUAAUAUAUCGGAACGUGCCUAGUAGUGGGGGAUAACUACUCGAAAGAGUGGCUAAUACCGCAUGAGAUCUACGGAUGAAAGCAGGGGAUCGCAAUACCUUGUGCUACUAGAGCGGCCGAUGGCAGAUUAGGUAGUUGGUGGGAUAAAAGCUUACCAAGCCGACGAUCUGUAGCUGGUCUGAGAGGACGAUCAGCCACACUGGGAGUGGGAGACGGCCCAGAAUCCUACGGGAGGCAGCAGGGGGGAAUUUUGGACAAUGGGCGAAAGCCUGAUCCAGCAAUGCCGCGUGCAGGAUGAAGGCCUUCGGGUUGUAAACUGCUUUUGUACGGAACGAAACGCCCCGGGUUAAUACCCUGGGGUCAUGACGGUACCGUAAGAAUAAGCACCGGCUAACUACGUGCCAGCCGCCGCCGUAA